rnacentral:rRNA from 1 species
UACGGGAGGCAGCAGUGGGGAAUAUUGCACAAUGGGCGCAAGCCUGAUGCAGCCAUGCCGCGUGUAUGAAAAAGGCCUUCGGGUUGUAAAGUACUUUCAGUCGUGAGGAAGGUGUUAAGGUUAAUAACCUUAGCAAUUGACGUUAGCGACAGAAGAAGCACCGGCUAACUCCGUGCCAGCAGCCGCGGUAAUACGGAGGGUGCGAGCGUUAAUCGGAAUUACUGGGCUAAAGGGCACGCAGGCGGUUAAUAAGUUGGAUGUGAAAUCCCCGGGCUUAACCUGGGAAUGGCAUUCAAGACUGGUUAGCUAGAGUCUUGUAGAGGGGGUAGAAUUCCAUGUGUAGCGGUGAAAUGCGUAGAGAUGUGGAGGAAUACCGGUGGCGAAGGCGGCCCCUGGACAAAGACUGACGCUCAUGUGCGAAAGCGUGGGGAGCAAACAGGGAUUAGAUACC